rnacentral:rRNA from 1 species
UACGUAGGGUGCGAGCGUUAAUCGGAAUUACUGGGCGUAAAGCGUGCGCAGGCGGCUUUGCAAGACAGAUGUGAAAUCCCCGGGCUCAACCUGGGAACUGCAUUUGUGACUGCAUGGCUUGAGUGCGGCAGAGGGGGGAUGGAAUUCCGCGUGUAGCAGUGAAAUGCGCAGAUAUCAGGAGGAACACCGGUGGCGAAGGCGG